rnacentral:rRNA from 1 species
AUGCGGGCACCGGUGUUGCGUAGCAGUAGGGCGCCGCCGUCGAAUUUUUCAAGGAGAUGCGGCCCCUUCCCCGUCCAACUGCGACCAUGGCGUUGUCCAACCUCGUCUGUGCGCGCAGUCCAUCCUUGUUCACUCGCUCGCCAGCAGAGAUCAUUUAUUUUCAGGCCAUCCCCGUCCAGCCCUCCUGUGGUAGGAAGGUCGAGCCCAUCGCAAGCUGUAGUCCACGAUAGUCACCCGGUCCUGCCUCCUUCAUCCUUCCCCACCUCGCCCUCUGCCUCGACCAGCCGGUUGGACAUCUUGUCAAGCUCGAGAACCUGUAUUGCAGAGCUAGCUAAUGGUUCUUCUUUUCCUACCCCCACAGCUUCCCUUUCAGCCAUUGAAGCUACAGAUGGAGCCCGCAAUGCAGCAGCAUCACCCCAACGACCAUGGGACGGUCGACGAUGGCUGCGUGUGGUGUGCGUCUCUCCGACGUGCUCGGCGUGCUGCCGAGGGGGCUGCAGUUUGAAGUGGCUGGGUAAUGAAGUUCAGAGAAUGCUUUUUUAG